CAUAGGUUAAUGAGGCGAACCGGGGGAACUGAAACAUCUAAGUACCCCGAGGAAAAGAAAUCAACCGAGAUUCCCCCAGUAGCGGCGAGCGAACGGGGAGGAGCCCAGAGCCUGAAUCAGUGUGUGUGUUAGUGGAAGCGUCUGGAAAGGCGCGCGAUACAGGGUGACAGCCCCGUACACAAAAAUGCACAUACUGUGAGCUCGAUGAGUAGGGCGGGACACGUGGUAUCCUGUCUGAAUAUGGGGGGACCAUCCUCCAAGGCUAAAUACUCCUGACUGACCGAUAGUGAACCAGUACCGUGAGGGAAAGGCGAAAAGAACCCCGGCGAGGGGAGUGAAAAAGAACCUGAAACCGUGUACGUACAAGCAGUGGGAGCACGCUUCGGCGUGUGACUGCGUACCUUUUGUAUAAUGGGUCAGCGACUUAUAUUCUGUAGCAAGGUUAACCGAAUAGGGGAGCCGAAGGGAAACCGAGUCUUAACUGGGCGUUAAGUUGCAGGGUAUAGACCCGAAACCCGGUGAUCUAGCCAUGGGCAGGUUGAAGGUUGGGUAACACUAACUGGAGGACCGAACCGACUAAUGUUGAAAAAUUAGCGGAUGACUUGUGGCUGGGGGUGAAAGGCCAAUCAAACCGGGAGAUAGCUGGUUCUCCCCGAAAGCUAUUUAGGUAGCGCCUCGUGAAUUCAUCUCCGGGGGUAGAGCACUGUUUCGGCAAGGGGGUCAUCCCGACUUACCAACCCGAUGCAAACU
rnacentral:rRNA from 1 species